rnacentral:tRNA from 1 species
GGGCCUGUAGCUCAGCGGUAGUAGCGCCAUUCUUAUAAAAUGGAUGCCCUUGGUUCGAAUCCAAGCAGGCCCA